CUAGGCUGCGAUAACUCUCACAGGAGCACCUGCUGUGAAGAAUGACGGGGAAAGAAGUCAGAGAAGGUGAUGAUUUCUGACAGCAAGAGAAUAAAGAAAGCAAAUAAACUUUGCUUCACGGAGUAGACUGGGCCAUUCGAAGACCAUCUUUCUGGAAAAGACCAGAGGCAGGUUUGAAAAUCACUAAUGUAUGCAGAAGAGCAUAAAUAUUUAAGAGCAAGAUCUAUGAAGUUGGUCCUGGGUUUGAACCCCAUCUCCACCACUUUCUUGCGCUAUAGGAGGUGGCCAACCAGAAAUCCCCCUGCUUAAAGGAGAAUCCACAAUAAGAAUUAUUUCAUUUGCAGAGGGCUGGAUUGAUUAUAAGGUUA